UGGUCACCCUAAUUAAACAGUCUGAUAACUCUGUCCUCGCAGCAGCUAACGAUAGCUCACCGCUUGUGUAGCUACAGCAGCUAGCUAGCCAUCUACCUUCUAUUCGUAUGUAUUUUUCUACACAAUAGAAAAGCGAUGUGCUCUCGUGCCUCCUGCAGCUCUUCUGUGUUGCACGUCAAUACUUUGAGACAAACAAGGAGCGUCAAUCUAACGUAAAUGCUUUUCAAUAAAUGUCUUUAGUUCCUGCACAAUGAACAUGAAUCUCAAAUUAAAUUAUUAAUAUUCCCCAAAUUCCAAUUAACUACACUUCCGCUGUUACAGAGGGGAAACACUGUAAUCAUACUGUAAACUUUCAAAAGUUCAUAUGUUGUGCAUAGUUUGAAGUGAAAAAAAACUUUUCUUCAAUUGUGUUUGGGUUCAGGCUCUGUUUAGGAUCGGUAUCGGAAAAACCCAAACGAUACUCAUCCCUACUCUCAUGCGCGCUCAACGUGAAGCUAAAGCCAGCCGCUGGUUAGCUUAGCAUGAAGGCUGGAGACAAGAGGGCUUAAAAGGGAUGUUUAAAAAUCCGGAUUCAACAGUUUACAAAUUUCCGACUUGAUGAAACAAUGGACAAAAAUCGUUCUUUAUUUAUUCUUAAAGUGUUUGCUAUCAAGAUCAAGAUGGGGUCAUAGAAAAAAACAAGUAGAGCAAAGUGUUUUAUGCACCAUGUCAAGUGGAUGAGCUCUAUCAAUACAAAUACACCGUCCACACACACACAUUUACUCUAAAGGCUCAUUUGCAUAUUGUACCGUCACUGUAACCAUAGAGACGUUACAUCAUGAUGUCUCCAUGUUCCAUGUUCCAUGUUCUAUGCUCCGUUCACCACAGCAUAAGAACACAGUUUGUUGCACAUCCAGUCAGUCAGUCAGUUUCAAACCUCGCAUCUACACACUGAAGUUUUCCGGACCUACACUUGCAGAAAGCAACCAUGUAAUGCCUCAGGAGUCUGUAGAGGGGACGAAGACGCAUUCUGCUGCACUUAACAGAGCUCAAGACCAACAGGACGCCAUCAGGACGCCGCGUCAACCCCUCAGGAGCAAAUCCAGAUCUACUCAUGACACACACACACACACCCCCACACACACACACACAUACACACAGAUGUACUCAGAGACACACUAACAUUUAGACAUGCUGGUAAAUUUAGAUGUACAAUUAGAUGUACACACAGACACACUAACAUUUGGAUCUAAACAAAGACACACUAUCAUUUGGUUCUAAACAAUGACACACACUAAUAGUUAGAUGUACACAAAGACACACUAACAAUUAGAUAUACGCACAGACACACUGUCAUUUGGUUCUAAACAAAGACACACACUAACAUUUAGAUGUACACACAGACACACUAGCAUUUAGAUGUACACACGGACACACUAACAAUUAGAUGUACACACAGACACACUAUCAUUUGUAUGUACACAAAGACACAUUAAUAUUUAGAUGUACACACAGACACACAAUUAGAUGUACACACGGACACAUCCUGAUGAUCCUCCUCACGUCUCUUCUCCUUGUCUGCAGACCAACAGGACGCCAUCAGGACGCCAUCAGGACGCCACGUCAUCGGGACGCUACGUCAUCGGGACACACUAACAAUUAGAUGUACACAAAGACAUAUUAAUAUUUAGAUGUACACACAGACACACUAACAAUUAGAUGUACACACAGACACACUAACAACAUUAACAUGUUAAUAACUUUUCUUCUUUUCUCUCUUCUCAGGAACUGCUUCAGAUGUUUUCCCAAUGAUUGCGUUAUUAUUAUUGUUAAAUAUGUUGUUUAUUAUUAUUGUUUAUAAAUAUCUGUUUAUUAUUUUAACAAUGAAAAUAAAUUUUAAUAAAAAU
ensembl:lncRNA